GGAUGGAGGGGUUUAUCGGUAGAAACAACAACCAGGGAUAUCGAGAGGCUUGAAGCGCAAGCGUUAAAUAUCCCUAUAAUACAAGGACGGUAAAUGACAGUGCGUCCCGUCAUAUCGGGAAUUUCCUUCAUUGCAAGGAAAUUGAGCUCACUAUUUUUACGAUCACUAAAAAGAUGCGAUGCUUAUCCUCAAGGGACUGCUUUAUAUCCAAGAAUUGACAUCAAAGACGUAACCAGUUAACGAUGAAAGCUUUUUCAACACUGAAUAUGGCCGAAAGAUUCCUUAGAAAAUACUGUAUAAAAAUGCCAGUAUUCAAGAGAUUUAGGGAACAGAAUAGUAACGUAAUACAAUAGGUAUUCGAAUAUAUUCAAGUCGCAUAAAUUAUUGAUAUUGAAUCACUAAUGCACAUACGUUACGUUUCGAGUAGAGCGGAUUUCGUAUGACUGUGCAAAAAACACGGUAAUUUCGUGCUG